UACAACACAGCCAAAUCAAAGGAUCAUGGGU
rnacentral:piRNA from 1 species